GAACGAACUGGCCAAAAUCCAGACCCAGCUGACCCGGAAUUCCUCCACCACACAGUCGCUCAGCAGAGGACGUUCCUGGAAUUGCAUUCCAACGCCAUUUCUCGCAUGUCAAGUAUUCAAGAGGACCUAAAUUCACGUAUUAACGCUUUCUUCCGGCAACAUCACCACUUCCGCCAUGACACCCGAAGAUUUCCGACUCCAACCCGAACCUUUCCGCGGUGACGUCGAAGCAUGCAGGGGUUUUCUUCUGCAAUGCCAGUUACUAUUUCAGCGUGCCCCGAGGUACUACCACUCCGAGCAUAAUAAAAUCACCCUAAUCAUCAAUUCAUUACGGAGUAAAGCCUUACAAUGGGCUCAGGCGUUUCUGGCUUCUAACCCCAUCACUCAUCUGUCCUUCGAUCAUUUCAUUGAAGAAUUCCGCCUAGUAUUUGACCAACCCAGGAAA